CCGGCGCCGGGGAGUUUUGUUCCGUUUCCCGGAUCCUUGGGUCUGCAGGCGAAAUACGCUCUGGGCGAGGACCACCGGCUGUGGGAAGAGGGUUCUGAGCGUCUCCUGACCUUGACGGUUUAUUUCCUAGACGUACGUGUCCUUUUUCCUAAGAGCGCCCUAAACAAGAAUAGAAAAUGAAGCAAUUCCUGGGCAAAUGCUUAGAAAACUGGAAGACUGAACUCUGAGGAACUGCCCAGCCCAGGAGGAGCAAUCCAAGAUACUGACAUCAGACGUUCCUCAGUAAAGGCCCGCUCAGAGCACCCUAAGUGAAGCCCAGAGUCUGUAUGCUUCACCCAUAUAUACAGAUCUAAAAAGCUUUUGUGUCUUUUCACUCAUAAGAGUAGACAGAAAAGAAUGACCAGACUUUGGAAGAAAGCUCAGAAGUGAUAGAGACGAAAGCAAGCAGAAAAGCUAUUUGAAGUGUAAAACAACAGAAAAUUUCAAGAAA